rnacentral:lncRNA from 1 species
AGUAGCAACUAAAUAGUCAGCGUUGGAGCUUGUCCUUCUACGUGGUCGACCAGCAGAAUACGACCGCCAAAUGGUUUAACCAGGUAAACCUCUUGCUGUUGGGUGAACUGACGCUACAGUUAAGGAUUUGCGCCCAGUAAAUCCUCCCCGGCCAGGAUAGGAACCCAGGACAAAGCGCUGGCGAAACUCGAGACGGGCGUCUUGGAUUGCUUAACUAGGUGCUUAAAUGAUGUCGUGGGAGUUAAGUUUACGGUUGUGGAAGGUCGUGACAACAAUAGAACUUCACAAUUGUGGAGGAAAAUGGUUUACGGACUAAUCAUCGUAAAUGUUAGUGAUUUAAAAUAUGAAAUGGAAAGUGCAGAACAUUGGUCCUUCAGUUGGAAUGUGGUGACCAGCUUCAGUUACGGAAUCAGGUGGUAAUGUGUUACAACGGCAUCAAGGCAGUGAUUGGCGUGUUCUAAUCUGCAAAAUAGUCUACUAAGCUGGUGAUGGUCCUUUGGAGUUGUCGUGGUCUCUGGGAUCUUCAGUGAUUGCAUCUAGGAACAUCAGUUUACAACAAUCUGAAAUAAAAGAUGUAUUAUAAAUACUGUACUAUGUAAUUUUUUUAAUAAAUCUUUUAAUUAAAA